GGCUCCCCAUUUUCCGUCAGAAGUCUUCCAAGUGCUUGCUGUUUUAAAUGUCUUAAAAGUCCAAAUAUAACAUGCUUGUGCUUGACAAAGGCAAGUUUCCUCCUUUGAAUCCAUGGCUGGAAGACCUGGUAAAGGCAAUAGAUAAUGAACAUUGAAACAGAGAUAAUAAGAGCAAUCAACACUGCCAAGUGCCUUCCUGAUGUUGAAUUGAGCAUUUGUGGAAGUUGAACUAUUAAAAAUGGGAAAACAGAUAUAACCAUAAUCCUGGCAGCAUAGCUGGUCCAAAUAUCAGUGCUGACUCCAGAUUCAGUCAAGCUAAACCCUUUUGUAUCCUGUGAAUCUAUGGCAACUGAAUCCUGAAGGUCACACUUCCCAACAAUCACACAUGUACCCCAGAUCAGUGUUAGAAGCAUGACAGUUGAGCCAGCUAGGAGGCCCAUUCCAACAGAGACUUGGCUUUGUGCAACUUCAGCACUUCCUGCAAGACCAGAAACGAGAAUCAGCAUAGCAUCGGGAAGAGCACCAAGCGCAGGAAGGAACAAUCCCCCCACAAUUCCAGGUCCCAAGAUCUCCAACAAGAGCUCGCUUCCAGUAGACAAGUAUUUAGCAGCCAAGAACAUCAAAUAGCCAUAAACGAUAAUCAAAAAGAGAUUCCCCAAAGCAGUGGUGGUACAGGGAAGAAACCCAUAAGACUGCUCGCAAGACUCCUCCUCGGGUGCAGAGAAUGAAGCAAGCGUGUUGAGAUGCAGAUAAGGGGGUUCCUGCAAUUCAUUGACGCCAUCGGAGACCAGAUCAGAGGAGGAGGAAGAAGUGAGGGAAGAAAUGGAGGCGAGGCGGGAGCUGUGGGAUUGAGCACAGAGGAUGAGGAAAAGGAGGAGGAGGAGAUGCAGGGGAGUUGUGGACAUGGCUUUUGAGCCAAAAUCUGGAGGUCCGGCGAGAGAGAAGAAGUGGG
rnacentral:misc_RNA from 1 species